GGUUCCGUGGCCUAAUGGCUAGGGCGCUAGAUUUCGGUUCCUAUUCGAUUCUCUAGAGAUUGUCGGUUCGAGUCCGGCCGGAAUCG